rnacentral:lncRNA from 1 species
UGCUGCAGUAAAUUCUAGGUGCAUCAAUGUGCUGCAGGUUUAACAAAUCAAAUCUUAAAACCUGAAAGAAAAACUACAAAGAUUGAAUUAAAUAUUUAUCAAACGACUGGAGGGGAAAGAACAUUAUAAGUUUGGAAAUAAUAAAAAAAAAAUCAUAAAGGAAAACGGAAAGAUUAGACGCCGUAAAAAUUAAAAACUGAAGCCAUUUUGUAAAAUGCCAUGAACUGGAUAAAGAAGGAUCUUCUGUAGAUGCAUCAAUGUGGCUGGGGCAGCCACAGGGGCCUGUCCUUUGACUUGACCACGGGGCUGACGGCACGUCUGCCCCAGCCACAGAAUGAACCCCCAGCCAAGGUGAGGCCAGCGCCUGUCCAGCGGCUGUAGACGCCCCUGUCUCUCAUGGUCACUUGUGGACUCCUGUUUAGAGGGUGAAAUGCUGAGUGUCCGAAGUCCUCGGAGGUUCCAUCUGAGCAGAAGCCCUACUGGCUUGUGUUUCAUAAACAGACAAAGACCUUAAUCGUUGGGAACCUGGAGGGCUUCCUUCGCUGGAUGCUCACCAGGUCCCCGCUGUAUCAGUUUCCUGGGGGUGCUGUACCAAAUACCACAAACCUACGUCUUAAACAGGAGAAACCUAUUCUCUCACAGUCUGGAGCCCGAAGUCAUACCUUUUAUAAGCCAGAUAAGAUGUGUUGAUCAGUCUUUCCAGCGGGAGGUCUGAAAACUGAGCUCUAAGACCAUCCUACAAGGCCAUCUUGCUUAGGGAUACGUGUUAUUAAUUCAGCAAUUAAUUUUCUCUUUGCACUAAAUUCUUGUCCCCAUAGCCUUAAUAGGACUGAUUAUUCAUCAAUAUUAAAGUGGCAAAUUCAUUAUAUUCUAAUAAUCUGACAUCAAAUAUUAAACCUCAUUAUACGAUUGGCCGGGGAUUUAUGACCACAUUCGUUAACUCAGGACCUGAGAACAGCUGUGUUUGGAACGAGAGGUACCUUCUGAGCAGCAAACUUGGGCAGUUCCAUCACCGUGAGUUAGAGGGACACAGACAUGCACAUAUGCGCAGAUUCAUCCAGGCUCCAGGAGACUCUCCAUCAGCACCGUACAUCUCCUCGAUGAGCAGCAGGUAGGAGAACGCAGCCCCAACUGCCACCUCCGAAGAAAUACAUCGCCACAGCUCAGAGAAGCAAACCCAGCUUCCUAGGCGGCAGGCUCCCAUUUUAGAUGAGAUGCAAAUGCUGUGAGUGGAGAAAGAAAGCUGGUAAUAACUCAGGCUUUGCUGCAGAGAGGCAGAGCUUACUGGAACAGAUCCACUGCUGAGCCCCCAGCAAGCACACUGGAAGUGCAGAAAUAGGGUUUGUCAUGGAAUUAUCGGCAUAAAGCAGCGAUAGGCUGUGCAUCGUCUGCUCGUACUGCUGCUGGAAGCCACUGGAGGUAUUAGUGCCAAUCAACUCCAAGACAGAGACGGAGGUGCGGGGGCAACUGCUGAGGCCUGGGGAAGGCUGAGCGUGCAGCCCGCUAAGGACGGGCCGGAACUCCUGCUGCCCGCACCCUCGGUAAUCAGCCCAGCCCUGCAAUCCACUCUAGAUGAUGAGUUUUGAAAGGCGGAAUUCAAUUAUCGUGAAAAGAAGAGCAUCAGGGACACAUAGAAAGAAAGAAAACACAGAAUCCUCUUGGAAAUGGAGCCGCCUCCAGGCCUUAAUGGGUCGUUUGAAGCAACUGGUUUUAUUCCCCUAGGGACCUGAGUACGGGGCUGUCAUGGUCCUGGUGAGUGACAGCACCCUCUCAGGAAAAGAAUGUAGCCUGAACAAAGGCAGCCGUGCGGCUUGGAUGUGAACUGGCUCAGCCCACGGAGCGGCAGCUCUGCGUGCCUGACAUUCAGCAGAACCACAGCCACUCACAGU